rnacentral:tRNA from 1 species
GGUUCUAUAGUAAAAUAAAUAACGUUGAAUUGCAAAUUCGAAAAUGUGCUGGACACUAGAACUU